AGAGUUUGAUCNUGGCUCAGGAUGAACGCUGGCGGUCUGCUUAACACAUGCAAGUCGAACGGGACUCUUCGGAGUUUAGUGGCGGACGGGUGAGUAACGCGUGAGAAUCUGCCCUUAGGUUGGGGACAACAGUUGGAAACGACUGCUAAUACCCAAUGUGCCGAGAGGUGAAAGGUUAACUGCCGGGGGAUGAGCUCGCGUCUGAUUAGCUAGUUGGAGUGGUAACGGCACACCAAGGCGACGAUCAGUAGCUGGUCUGAGAGGAUGAUCAGCCACACUGGGACUGAGACACGGCCCAGACUCCUACGGGAGGCAGCAGUGGGGAAUUUUCCGCAAUGGGCGAAAGCCUGACGGAGCAAGACCGCGUGAGGGAGGAAGGCCUAUUGGUUGUAAACCUCUUUUGAUAGGGAAGAACACAAUGACGGUACCUAUCGAAUCAGCAUCGGCUAACUCCGUGCCAGCAGCCGCGGUAAUACGGAGGAUGCAAGCGUUAUCCGGAUUUAUUGGGCGUAAAGCGUCCGUAGGUGGCAAACCAAGUCAGUUGUUAAAGCGUAGAGCUUAACUCUAUAAGGGCAAUUGAAACUGGUUAGCUAGAGUGCGAUAGGGGCAAGGGGAAUUCCCAGUGUAGCGGUGAAAUGCGUAGAUAUUGGGAAGAACAUCGGUGGCGAAGGCGCCUUGCUGGGUCUGCACUGACACUGAGGGACGAAAGCUAGGGGAGCGAAAGGGAUUAGAUACCCCUGUAGUCCUA
rnacentral:rRNA from 1 species